rnacentral:rRNA from 1 species
UACGGGGGGAGCAAGCGUUGUUCGGAUUUACUGGGCGUAAAGGGCGCGUAGGCGGUCGUGACAAGUCACUUGUGAAAUCUCCGGGCUUAACUCGGAACGGUCAAGUGAUACUGUCGGACUAGAGUACAGAAGGGGCAACUGGAAUUCUCGGUGUAGCGGUGAAAUGCGUAGAGAUCAGGAAGAACACCGGUGGCGAAAGCGCUCUGCUAGGCCGCAACUGACACUGAGGGACGAAAGCUAGGGGAGCGAAUGGG